rnacentral:rRNA from 1 species
CACGUAGGGUGCGAGCGUUGUCCGGAAUUAUUGGGCGUAAAGAGCUCGUAGGCGGUGUGUCGCGUCGGCCGUGAAAACCUGCAGCUUAACUGUGGCUUGCGGUCGAUACGGGCAUCACUGGAGUUCGGCAGGGGAGACUGGAAUUCCUGGUGUAGCGGUGAAAUGCGCAGAUAUCAGGAGGAACACCGGUGGCGAAGGCGGGUCUCUGGGCAGUAACUGACGCUGAGGAGCGAAAGCGUGGGGAGCGAACAGG